GACAAGUGGAAGUCUAGAAACUGGCGUAAUGUCUCUAAGCCUCAGUUUGGGGAGGUCUCUAAAUGCCUACUUGCCAUUGUCUAAGGCGGGCAGUUUGGUUGCAGGUUUCAACUAAGCAUUAGAGACUGGGAUGGGAGGGGAGAAGUAUGAAGCUGCUGUACAGGGGACUCACGGAUAUCCUAGCAUAAUGCCCCGGCUUGGGAAGUGACUUGUCGACCCUGCCCUGUGAGCCUGCUGGAGAGCUUGGCAGACUCUUCUGGUCCUGCUGUGAAUCCCUCAGGCUUGUGAGGGACAACAGAUGGUCAAACUACACCCAGAGACACCCCUCUACGUAAUGAUGAGAAAUGACCAGGGUCCUGGCAUCUCACUGGUAACUAAGUUCUGGAGAAUCCACUCCUCUUCUGUGUCAUCCUCCUGGUUUCACACACCUGGGAUAUAUUAAUGAGAGAAGAAGACUGGCUUAUGGAGGAGUCGACCCUCUCAUUCACUUCUACUUCUCAGCCUCAGAGCUGGGCCUAGAUAGAGUGUCUGUCCUCGAGGCAUUGCUAUGGAAGUCUCCUGCUAUUCCAGGCAUCUGUAGUCUUGACCAGCUGUACUAUGAAGGUAUAUAGCACUCUAUCAGGCAAAUAACUCUGCUGGCCGAGAGAGGAAUAUACGGCAAUUAAGAGAAGGAUAAUUCAUAGCCUCUGCAGGUGAGGAGUCCAGGCAUGGCUUAGUGGGAUUCUCUGCAAUGCGCUACCAAAGUUUUGACCAGCGGAGUUCUCAUCUGGAAGUUCAACUAGGGAAGGACCUACUAUCAAGCUUACUUAGCUCUUAGUAGAAUUCAUUUCCUUGCAGCUAUGAUACUUUAGAACUCACUUUUUGCUGGUUAUUAGUAGGAGGUCACCCUCAGCUCCUAGUGACUGCCCACUGUUCUCUAUUAAAUGGUUGUCUACAUAGGCAGCUCACAACAUUGCAGGCUGCAUCUUCAAAUCCAGAUAAAAAACAAGAAAUAAUCUAUGAGCAAUAUAGAAUUUUUAAAAUGUAAUAAUCACAGGAGUGACAUCCCAUAAAUUUUUAAUAUUCUAUUGGUUGGAAGCUAGUCACAAGUUUAGCUCUCACUCUAGGGUGGAGUUUACAGAAAGGUAUAAAUAAAGGGGAGGUAGGGAUCAUGGGGCCAACUUUGAGUCUGUUAACUACAACAGCAAGAAACAUCUCUACUCAAAAAUGGGGGAAAUGGUAGCUCAGAGGACUCACUGGUUCAUAGCAAGUCCAAGUCCAGCUGGAAAAAUAUUGGUAGUUCCUUGGUUAGUUCUCAUGGCCUGGAAAGAAUUCUCCACAGCAUUCAGCUCUACCAUCUGGGCUCUGGUUCUGCACUCUGAAUCAUCUUUCCUUUUCAAUGAAAGGGAGGACAUGUUUGCAGCUGAGUAAUUUUUUCUGCCUUCCUCCUACCAGUAGAGUUUUGAGAUCUAAUGGUCUCUCUUUUGUAUUGUCUAUUUUUUACUGUCUCAGUCCUUGUUGGUCUACACUGGCAGCACUUCUGCAGAUGUAAUUUUCUCGAAAACUUUCUGGGUAUCAUACACAAGUUUUGUAGGUUUACUGCAUUAUAAAAAAGCCACACAUCUCUAAGUCUGAAAUAAUUUGUUCAUAAAGCUAAGUUUCAUAGAUCCCAUCAUAUUAUAUACAGGUCAGUGAUCUGAACUAGCAGGAUUAUCAGAUGUCGGGUUACAUGGAUUUUUCCAUGUGUUCGGUCAUGGUUCUGGAUGACCUCAAAGGUAGAGGGAGUAACUAACACUUCAAGGAUUUGUCUAUUAGUUAAAGGAAUAAGAAUAGAACUAUUUCUCACAUACUGGUAUAGUGAUCAUUUGUUCACCUUGAUUUGUGGAAUCAUAUUUCUAAUCUUAUUCAAAUGUGUUUAUAGUUAGAGCAAAGACAAUCUUGGUCAUAGGGAAAAGGAGAGAGUUGUAGAUACACAAUCGAACUUUGAAUAAUGUGCGUUUGAAUUGCACUGGUCCACUUAUAUGUUUUUCAACAGUAAAUACUAUAGGACUGCAUGGUUCCUGGUUCAUUGGAUCUGUAGAUGUGGAUAAGCUGAAGAUAUGGAGGGCCAAGUAUAAACUGUAUGCAGAUUAACCCCAGCAUUGUUCAAAGUUCAGCUGUACUGUGAUACAGAGUUAGACUUGGGCUCAAGAUGAUUUAAGUUUUCAUCAGUGACCCUGAUGCCAUAAUCUGGUCAUGGGGGUUGGAUCAGGAUUUGAAACUGCACAAUGGGAGGCUUUAAAAAGAAGGCACAGAGUGAAAUUCAUCAGGGUUGAGCCUGAGGACAAUAAUUCACUUUGGGGGGGGGGUAAAACCUAUUGGGAAUCAAAGUUAGGUUCACUGCUGUUAGAAAUGAUUUAACAUAAUCCUACCUGAGGCAGGAGCUUUAUAAAUCUUUUCCAAUUUUUUUGAUACUAAGACCUAAUAGGAAAAGGAAACUUUGAAAAAAAAAAUGGGGGUAUGACUUGAAAGACUGUACUUUGGAUUGAUACAAAAAUUUACCAAUUCCUUUCAAAUGCAAAAGUGUUUAAAAUGUAAUAUUAGUAGGAUUUGUAAAUGUCUAAAUUUUCAAAUGCCAGCAAAUUAAUUUUAUAAUACAAUCCCUACAUCUAAGGGAUACAGGAAACUUUUGGAGGUGAAGGUUAUGUUUAUCAUCUUUAGGGUGGUGAUGGUAUCAAAGGUGUUUCCAUAUAUCCAAACUCAGCAAAUCAUAUUUUUUGGGAAUAAAUUACACCUCAGUAAAUCUGUUAUAAUUUUUCUAAUGGGCCCACACAAACUAUCUGCUCAUAAAAUUUUCCUCUAUUUAUCAUGCAUUUCCUUCUACCUUCCCGAAUGUUACAGACUUAGCAGAAAUCAAAAAAGUGGGGAAACUAUGGUGUGCUAAACAUGAUCAGUGUUCAAUGGUCUAUUUUAAAUUUUUGGAUACAUUUCAUAUGUCUCAGGAACAUUUCUAUUUUCCAAUUUAUUUCAUCAGGAGGGCUUUGAUGCAAGUAAGUUCAGUUUAUUCCAGUUCACCAAGCACUAAUUAUCAGGCAGGCCCUGGUGAAGAUCUUAAGGAUUGGAAGUUCCCUGUCCUCAGAAAGCUCAAAGUACAGGAAAAUGUUAUUUUAAAAAUACUUAUAUUUCUCCUUUAUCUGAUGCCAUCUAAGUAAUUUCAGAUGAAUUAUAAAAUACUAACAUAAAAGAGAAACUUAAAGUCAUAUUUAAAACCCCACCACCCAGUGGAGAAAAGGGAAUCCUCCUACACUGUUGGUGGAAAUGUAAAUUGGUACAACUGCUAUGGAGAACAGUAUUGAGGUUCCUUAAAAAA
rnacentral:lncRNA from 1 species